rnacentral:rRNA from 1 species
UGGGGAAUAUUGCGCAAUGGACGAAAGUCUGACGCAGCAAUCCUGCGUGUAUGACGAAGCCCUAAGGGGUGUAAAGUACUUUUUUGGGGGAAGACGAAUGACGGUACCCCAAGAAUAAGGGAUGGCUAACUACGUGCCAGCAGCCGCGGUAAUACGUAGAUCCCGAGCGUUAUCCGGAGUUACUGGGCGUAAAGAGUCUGUAGCCGGUUUAAUAAGUCUAUUUUUAAAUACUUGGACUCAAUCUAAGAGAGGGGAUAGAUACUGUUAAACUAGAGUGAAGUAGGGGUUAGUGGAAUUUCCGGUGGAGGGGUGAAAUCUGUUGAUAUCGGAAGGAACGCAGAAAGCGAAGGCAGCUAACUAGACUUAAACUGACGGUGAGAGACGAAAGCAUGGGUAGCAAACAGG